CUGGCGCUGGAGACGUUCGCGACGGACAACGCGUCGUUCAGCUACGCCGGCCUCGACGGCGCGACGGAGAGCACGCCGGCGAUCCAGGCCGAGGGGUUCCGGCCUUCGGACUGGGUGAGCCUGUCGGUGUCGGCGACGGACACGUCGUACUGCAUCGAGGGCCAGAACCAGUUCGUGCCGGGCAAGACGUUCGUCUACCGCAGCGACAACGGCAUCGUGCAGAUCGGGCUGAACGGCCUGGUGUCGUGCUAGCACGACAGGGCUAAGCCCGUCGCCCGCAUUCGUUCGCCCGUCCGGCUCAAGCGAGUGCCGGUUCCGUGCCGAUAAGCCAGCGUGAGG
rnacentral:misc_RNA from 1 species